AUGGCUUGUGGAUUUUAUAUGUGAAAAACAUAAUAAUGAAGAAAUGGAACAUAAUUGUAAUAGGCCCAAUUUUCCCGGGCUUAUAAAAAACCAAAAAAUAUCAAACAGAAAUAAUAAACUAAAUUAUUUAUAGGUCCAAAGUCCAUUUACAGUUCAGCCCAAAUAUUAAAACCCAGACCUAAUCCGUUUACAAAAUUUCGGGCCUAAAUUAAAUCCAAACCCAUUUACAAAAUUUCAGGCCCAAACUCGAGACCCAAAAAUAACCCGAAAAAGGCCCAAUAACAGAGGAUACCAGAAACCCUAAAGGUUUCUGGAAAACGCUAGAACAAUAGCAGAUCAGGACUCCCACGAGUGGUUCCCACGCAUGGCCACCAGGUCUUCUCCUCUGUACGGUCGUUCCUACGUUAGAAUACACGAGAAGAGAAAGCUAACAAAAUAUACUGCUAAAUGCCAGAAGAAAAAUAUUUUUUUAUUCUUUAUUCUCUGUAGAUCCGGCUAUAAAAGGGCCAUUACCUGUACUUUGUAAGCUUACGCAUAUGAAAUACAAGAAAAAGCAAUUCAAGAAAAAUUAUAAGGUGAUCUUAGAUUUUUUUUUUUGUUUUUGCGAUUUGCUUCUUUUUUUGGGCCUGCAUAUUUUUUUUUUCGCAUAGAAAAGUAUAGAGGAAGAGUCUACCUUCGUAAGUACACCGUCGGGGUCCCUAUCUCCUUCGUCGCAAUCGGAGCUUGAGAUGGGAUUUCAGAAUUAAAAUCAGUAGUCCACAAGUUGUGGUUUUAAACGGGGUAAAAGAGGGGCAUAUACUCGUCGCCAAUCAUCAAAUACAGUGGUGUCAUGGCGAUUAAUGAGUUUUUUUCCGGUUAAACCUAAUGAGAAUCAAAAGGAUCUAAGGUUUUGGUUCUUUUGUCGGUUAAAUGAGGGGAAAACAUGGGGCAUCAGGGUUUUGAUUCAGUGGUUGUAGUGAAUGGCAGAUGGCCAUUCUAUUUCUUUUAAUUUUAGAAUAAAAUAAAACAGCGCCGUUUAAGGGAGGUGGAUUCACGUGUCAACCCGCUCCAGGACCCAGAUCCACACCUUUGCGCUUCAAAUGGGAACAUCUCGCGGCUAGUCCUUCCCCUUUGCCCCGC
rnacentral:lncRNA from 1 species